rnacentral:lncRNA from 1 species
AUGGGAAGCUGCACUCCUUCUGCUCCUGGUAGGUCUGAAUCUACCUGUGUCAAGGUGUGGGAUGAAGAAAAAAGGGUUAUUUCUACCAUAACAGUACAGAAACAGGAGACUGCAGGAGGCAGCUCAGAGGGAACCAACGUGACUUUUUGCACAGCCAUUCUGGACCAACAGAGACCUUCCUGCAGAGAAAGCAAGCUGGGACUGUUUUUCUUGUGGUGCACCAUGAAUAUCAGUGUCACCCGUAUCUUUAUAUGUUAAAAUUUCCUUAAAAGCCAUUUGUAACAAGGCCGAAUUAUGUCUCUCUCUUUCCAAUUGUACUUCUAGAUUUCCAAUUUGGUUUUGCAAAGCUUUCACGAGUUCCUGGGUUGCUUUAACUGUUUCUGGUGUAACGACUGUAUAGUUGGUUUUCCGCCUCAAACUGCUGAUCUCGGAACUCCACGGCUGCUUUUAAAGCAGCACCGAGUACCGCACAAAUAAAUGAUUUGCCUUUCCCGGCUCGGGUACGAGC